CUGGAUUGUAAACAAACAGUAGGAGUUUCUUUCCACAGUGGAAGGGAGAAUAAUGAGAAGAAGGAUGCAGAAGAGAGGGGAAAGUUGAAAGUAGCUGAUAUGGGACCACAGAAUAUUGGCCAAUCAAUUGUAAUGACUAUACUUAUACCUAAACAAGUAAUAAAUAAAUGCAUUUGGCUUCCUUACCUUGAGUAUUGAAUCAACAUUUGAAAACAAAGUAAUCAACCUUUGGCAAUUUGUCCUUCAGAGAGAGAAAAACUCCCUUAGAAACCCAUAUUAAAAGAAACGUGCACAUGUAUCCCAGAACUUAAAGUAAAAUAAAAAAUAAAAGAAAAGAAAAGAAACAUGGGGAAAAAGGAGCAAGAGGAAGUUGAGAAGAAAAUUCAAGAAGGUGGUGCUACAAGGGCUUCUCAAUUUUGUACUUUUUCCUUUCAACAUUUUCUCUCCUGGACCCAAGAAACAUCAAAGGACUUUGUAUUCUCCAGUGAAUGAAGGAUAAAAAUUAGACAUGGAGACACUUGGUUUGGCAGAGCAGGUGACAAGCCUGAAGACCGUGAGUUAAGAUCAUAGAGCCACAGACCAGAAGCAGCCUGCAUCCCUGAAUCCCAGUACGGAAUAAAGUGUCACCUGAACUGCUUCAGACUUUGUGGGAAUGAGAAACAAACCUUCCUUUUAGUAAGCCUCAUAUUUGUUAAUUUUAUAUUUCAGGGUUUAUUUAUUAGUUCAGUAUAGCCAGUCUUGUCACAUUUUACGGAAAUAUUCUUGACUUUCUUUCUGAAAUGUCUGGUUAAAUGUUUAUAGACAAUUUAAUAGACAUGUAAUGUGUUUGUUAAAUGUCUGCACACAUAGAGAAUAAUCAGAAACUCACUGGACACAUUUUUGUCUUUAGUUAUGACAAAGUACACUCCCAUAGGAUGAUCAGAAGCUUCCUUUUUAUGGGCAAUACUGUAAGCUAAAAACAAGACAGGUAGAAAACAGUAAUGGGUCAAAAACAUGAGCACUGAUUAUGCUGACUACACUAUUAACAAGACUUUGGUUGCUUUAUAAAAUCAAACUCCAUGCUUGUUUUUUCUUAGCUCCACUGCAGUCCACUCUUAUAAUCUGAAGAGGCUCCUAUGAUCAGAGUCAAAGAUAUAAAUGCUAGGAUGCCACAAAAAUGAGGAAGAAGAAACACCCUGUUAGCAAUGUCCAGGUGUGACAAAAUAAACUGCAACAAUAAACUGGAGGGCUAGUUGAUGCAAAAAAUAAUCUGACUCUUCAAUCUUAUUGGGCCUUUAUUUAUGUGGUUGAGUUUGUGAUGAAUAGUUUCAGGAUAGGCACCUUGACUUGUCUACAGUGCUACAAUCCCACCUAAGAGUUACAGAUGGUCUCU
rnacentral:lncRNA from 1 species